UACGGGGGGGCAAGCGUUGUUCGGAAUUACUGGGCGUAAAGGGCUCGUAGGCGGCCAACUAAGUCAGACGUGAAAUCCCUCGGCUUAACCGGGGAACUGCGUCUGAUACUGGAUGGCUUGAGUUUGGGAGAGGGAUGCGGAAUUCCAGGUGUAGCGGUGAAUGCGUAGAUAUCGAGAGGAACACCUGCGGCGAAGGCGGGUUGCUGGGCUGACACUGACGCUGAUGCGCGAAAGCCAGGGGAGCGAACGGG
rnacentral:rRNA from 1 species